GGUUUCCAAACUUGGUUGCACAUUAGAAUCACCUGGGGAGCUUUCAAAACUCCUUAUGCCCGAGUCCCCACACCAAUUAAUUCAGAACCUGAGAGGGCUGGCAUCACUGUUUUUAAAGAUAUCCAGGGGGUUCUAAUGAGCAGCCAAGUUUGGGGACCACUUUAACCACCCUGCCCCCAGCCAACUUCCUGACCACUGAGGAUUUGCCUUUAGGCCUGUCAGGGUGAGGAGCAUAGGCUGUGGUGUUAGUAGUGAUUAUGGAGCUCAUAUUUCAUAAUAGGAUUCUCUGUAACAAAGACCUCACCAGGCAGGCGUGUGUUGUUCCUUUCCUACAGAGGCAGGACGGAAGCUCAGAGAAGAGGGGGCCACGUGCCCAGUCACCCAGCUCCAAAGUUAGCAGAACCAGGACUAAAACCCAAGACUUUGGAGUUCUCAAGCAAACGUUCUGGCCUCUGAGGAUAAGGCCUCUGAGACAAGGGUCUCUGGUCCUGAGGGACACCAUGGAUACUGUGAUCCAGCAAGACCAAAAGGAGCUUAGCACCUAGUCAUUCAUUGGAGCCUGCCAUCUUGUGAUUCUUCCAUGCCAAGAGGACAGGCCUGGAAGAAUGACACGGUCUUUAGUGGAGGAGGUUAAACCCCAGGAAAACUUCCACACUGGUGUGAGGUCCCAGGGACCUGGCUACUUACAUCCUGGGAGAGUGCUCUAAACUGAUACACCCAAGGCCCCACCCCACCCAUCCAGAGGCAAGGAUAAGCCAAUGUGGCUUUUCCAGGAGUCUUCAGAUUUGGAGAUGACUUGGGUGGGUCCUACCACAGUUAGAGCCUCUCCCGCGGUCAGUUGUCCACAGGUGAAAGCAAAUCAGUUCAGUAGCAUGGGCCCUGCCCGGACAGCUGGGCCCUGGGAAGUCCUUUACACCCCGACAGAACACCGCAUCCAUCGGCCCCAGCCAGCCACCUUGAAAAUAAAACAGAGCCAAAUUAGAACUAGAGUAAAAUACAAUUUUUCACCCAUCAGAUUAGCAAACAUCAAAACAACAACAACAAUUGAUAGCACGCUUUGUUGGUCAGGCUGUGGGGAAAUUGUCACUCUUCCCAUUGCUGGUAGAGGUUUAAUUGUUACAGUCUCUGUGGAGAAUAAUUGGCAAUAAGUAUCAAGAUUACAAGCACAUAUACCCUUUGACCAACAAUUCCAGGUCUGGGAAC
rnacentral:lncRNA from 1 species